rnacentral:rRNA from 1 species
UACGGAGGGGGCGAGCGUUAUUCGGAAUCAUUGGGCGUAAAGGGCGUGUAGGCGGUUUGUUAAGUCAUGUGUGAAAUCCCUCGGCUCAACCGGGGAACGACGCUUGAAACUGGCAAGCUAGAGUACCAAAGAGGGCGGUGGAAUUCCCGGUGUAGCGGUGAAAUGCGUAGAUAUCGGAAGGAACAUCAGUGGCGAAAGCGGCUUCCUGGACCAGCACCGACGUCAGGCACGAAAGCGUGGGGAGCAAACAGG